CCAAGAUACAGAAAACAUAAAUAAUAAGGAUGAAAAACAAGUCAGAUCUUAUGCGUAGUAUUAUUCCAUGAUAUUACAACAAUCAAUUACAAGUCCAUUGAGGAGAUCAUAUGACAAGCCUAAAGAUGCGAUGACUAGAGGUUCAGCAUGAGAAAGAAGAGUAUGGAACUAAACUAAGUCCAUGUAACCCAAAAAAAUAAAGAGAAUAGACCCAAUUUUAUUUGAUUGCACCGGCUGAGGACUUCUAAAUUUUCAACUACAAACUCUAAAUACUUGUGAAUAUGUAAAGAAAGAAUUGAGAAACAUCAAUUGAAGUGUUCGUAAUGCUACCUAAAUUGGGAGACAAUCCAUUUCAAAUUUACAAUUAUCCCAUUAGUUCAUAUGUGAAUCACUUUUUCAGCUGAAAUGCAUGGAUUUUAAGUUGAGUCCAAAUGUAACCUAAGAGAGACGUUCUGUACCAAAAAAAUAAAAACGCUGAAGAAUUUUACAGCCUUGUGUUUGCUAGAACUUUUGCCAAUUUAGAUAUUGACAAGCAAAUUAUGGAACAUCAAGAGCAAAGAAACCAAACAAAAUCAAAGUUGAUGACUAGGCUGGACUAGGAUUUUGUUUCUUCACUGAUUUCCAAGGAGAACUAUUCUUCCUAAUGGUGGUCACAGCUAUGCACUAGAGUCAAUAGAGAAGCUACAGGGGUUACAUUUCAUCAUGAUAUCUAACUGUAAAUAGCAUUUAUAGGCAGCUGCCAGGAUUCAAGAGUACAUUUAGCUCUCACGCUUGAGCAAUCCAACCACACUUAAGCAGGAAAAAGGUGGUAAAUUAAUUGAAUGAUCAAGAAAGGUAUAGUUGGUUCCGGCCAGUGGAUAUGCUGAACUAUCUGCCUCCUCAUAAAAAAACCCUUUUAUCAUUGAUCAAGAUUAAAAGAGGAGCUUCUCUAGUCCUCUGACAACUAAAGAGCAUAUUUUACCUGUGUAGAACCUGUAUCAUGAUUCUCUAUAAAUGUAACAGCACGAGAUGGCCACCAU
rnacentral:misc_RNA from 1 species